rnacentral:rRNA from 1 species
GUUAGUGGCGAACGGGUGAGUAACGCGUAGGCAACCUGCCCUCCAGUUGGGGACGAACAUUCCGAAAGGGAUGCUAAUACCGAAUACGAUGGAUUUCCCCGCAUGAGGGAUCCAUGAAAGGCGCUUUUCGGGCGUCGCUGGAAGAUGGCCUGCGUCUGAUUAGCUGGUUGGUGAGGUAACGGCCCACCAAGGCGAUGAUCAGUAGCCGGUCUGAGAGGAUGAACGGCCACAUUGGGACUGAGACACGGCCCAAACUCCUACGGGAGGCAGCAGUGGGGAAUCUUCCGCAAUGGACGAAAGUCUGACGGAGCAACGCCGCGUGAGUGAUGAAGGUCUUCGGAUUGUAAAACUCUGUUGUCGGGGACGAAUGUGCGAUGCAGGAAAUGGCAUUGUAUUGACGGUACCUGACGAGGAAGCCACGGCUAACUACGUGCC